AAAGGAAGCAAUUCUGGUAUGAGAUGGGCUCGCGUCGCAUUAGCUAGUUGGUGGGGUAACGGCUCACCAAGGCGACGAUGCGUAGCCGACCUGAGAGGGUGAUCGGCCACAUUGGGACUGAGAUACGGCCCAGACUCCUACGGGAGGCAGCAGUGGGGAAUAUUGGGCAAUGGAGGAAACUCUGACCCAGCAAUGCCGCGUGAAUGAAGAAGGUCUUCGGAUUGUAAAGUUCUUUAGUCAGGGAAGAAGAAAAUGACGGUACCUGAAGAAUAAGCCCCGGCUAACUACGUGCCAGCAGCCGCGGUAAUACGUAGGGGGCAAGCGUUGUUCGGAAUGACUGGGCGUAAAGGGUGCGUAGGCGGUUGUACAAGUUAGAAGUGAAAUACCCAGGGCUUAACUCGGGUGCUGCUUCUAAAACUGUAUGACUUGAGUGCAGUAGAGGUUAGUGGAAUUCCUAGUGUAGCGGUGGAAUGCGUAGAUAUUAGGAGGAACACCAGAGGCGAAGGCGGCUAACUGGACUGUAACUGACGCUGAGGCACGAAAGUGUGGGGAGCAAACAGGAUUAGAUACCCUGGUAGUCCACACUGUAAACGAUGGAUACUAGAUGUAGGAGGUAUCGACUCCUUCU
rnacentral:rRNA from 1 species